GGCCCCAUCGUCUAGUCAGGUCUAGGACACAGGAUUUUCAUUCCUGCGACAGGGGUUCGAAUCCCCUUGGGGUCA
rnacentral:tRNA from 1 species